UUGCAGUGUGGAGUGCUCAUGGACAAAGAGAUGACUUCAACCUGGAAGAUGCUCUUGAUGAUGUCCCAACAGAGAAGCCUAAGCCUAAACCACAGCCGCCUAAACC